AUUGAACGCUGGCGGCAGGCCUAACACAUGCAAGUCGAGCGAGCGGCGGACGGGUGAGUAAUGCCUGGGACUUGCCCAGUCGAGGGGGAUAACAGUUGGAAACGACUGCUAAUCCCGCAUACGAUUUGCUUGCCCAGGUGGGAUUAGCUAGUUGGUUAGGUAAUGGCUCACCAAGGCGACGAUCCCUAGCUGGUCUGCGGGGAUGAUCAGCCACACUGGAACGGAGACACGGUCCAGACUCCUCCGGGAGGCAGCAGGGGGGAAUAUUGGACAAUGGGGGAAACCCUGAUGCAGCAAUGCCGCGUGUGUGAAGAAGGCCUUCGGGUUGUAAAGCACUUUCAGCGAGGAGGCGUUACUCGCAGAAGAAGCACCGGAUAACUCCGUGCCAGCCGCCGCGGUAAUAC
rnacentral:rRNA from 1 species